CUGGCGGGCAGCCGGGAGGCCGAGAGGGCUCUGAUAAAGAUCAAGGUCAAUGAAAGAGGAAACAACAAAUACAAGCUCGUUGGGACAGAGAGAAAAGGAAGGCAGAAAGCACCCAGAGAGGAGGAGACAAGGGCCCUUUCAGCCCCCUCAGGCUGUGAGGAGACACAGGCUCUGCCUAGAGCCCCCUCUCUGGGGGCAGAAACGUGAGGCGCCCGCAGGCGGAAGAGGAGUUGUUUAAUACAACAAGAACAUAAUGAGUGGCAGUGACUGGAGUAACCAGAUUCCUGGCAAAGCAGGAGCAAGGAUGGCAAUAAACUGCCUGGAGUGCUUCCUGCCUUCUCGCAGAGAUUCUGCAUGAACCCUUCCGGAUCGCUUGUCUUCGCCGCGCUUUGUGUGGGUGCUUCUACUUCCAGCCGAUUCUCAUCAUUCAUGGCAGUUAUGUUCUACAAAGUCCCUGCGCACCCGGAACCAUUGUUUCUGGGGGAAAUGCAAGGGUAGGUUCCUGGGAGCCCCUGGUGACAUUUUCAUCAA